UACAGAGGGUGCGAGCGUUGUCCGGAAUUACUGGGCGUAAAGCGCGUGUAGGCGGUUGCCCAAGUCGGGGGUGAAAGCCUUGAGCUCAACUCAAGAAAUGCACUCGGUACUGGGUGACUAGAGGACCGGAGAGGAUAGUGGAAUUCCCAGUGUAGUGGUGAAAUACGUAGAGAUUGGGAAGAACACCAGUGGCGAAGGCGGCUAUCUGGACGGUUUCUGACGCUAAGACGCGAAAGCGUGGGGAGCAAACAGG
rnacentral:rRNA from 1 species